rnacentral:rRNA from 1 species
CCUACGGGAGGCAGCAGUGGGGAAUAUUGGGCAAUGGGCGCAAGCCUGACCCAGCAACGCCGCGUGAAGGAAGAAGGCUUUCGGGUUGUAAACUUCUUUUCUCAGGGACGAAGCAAGUGACGGUACCUGAGGAAUAAGCCACGGCUAACUACGUGCCAGCAGCCGCGGUAAUACGUGGGUGGCAAGCGUUAUCCGGAUUUACUGGGUGUAAAGGGCGUGUAGGCGGGACGGAAAGUCAGAUGUGAAAACCACGGGCUCAACCUGUGGCCUGCAUUUGAAACUGUAGUUCUUGAGUACUGGGGAGGCAGACGGAAUUCCUGGUGUAGCGGUGAAAUGCGUAGAUAUUAGGAGGAACACCAGUGGCGAAGGCGGUCUGCUGGACAGCAACUGACGCUGAGGCGCGAAAGCGUGGGAGCAAACAGGAUUAGAUACCCUUGUAGUC